rnacentral:rRNA from 1 species
AUUGAACGCUGGCGGCAGGCCUAACACAUGCAAGUCGAGCGGAUGAAGGGAGCUUGCUCCUGGAUUCAGCGGCGGACGGGCGAGUAAUGCCUAGGAAUCUGCCUGGUAGUGGGGGAUAACGUCCGGAAACGGGCGCUAAUACCGCAUACGUCCAGAGGGAGAAAGUGGGGGAUCUUCGGACCUCACGCUAUCAGAUGAGCCUAGGUCGGAUUAGCUAGUUGGUGGGGUAAAGGCCUACCAAGGCGACGAUCCGUAACUGGUCUGAGAGGAUGAUCAGUCACACCGGAACUGAGACACGGUCCAGACUCCUACGGGAGGCAGCAGUGGGGAAUAUUGGACAAUGGGCGAAAGCCUGAUCCAGCCAUGCCGCGUGUGUGAAGAAGGUCUUCGGAUUGUAAAGCACUUUAAGUUGGGAAGAAGGGCAGUAAGUUAAUACCUUGCUGUUUUGACGGUACCAACAGAAUAAGCACCGGCUAACUUCGUG